UAUUGGUUUCAGUCAUUAGACUGUGGCCAUGCUGGAGUACUACCUUGAUGGGUUCAGUCAAACAAAUCAUCCACUUUA